UACGGAGGGAGCUAGCGUUGUUCGGAAUUACUGGGCGUAAAGCGCACGUAGGCGGCUUUGUAAGUUAGAGGUGAAAGCCCGGGGCUCAACUCCGGAACUGCCUUUAAGACUGCAUCGCUUGAAUCCAGGAGAGGUGAGUGGAAUUCCGAGUGUAGAGGUGAAAUUCGUAGAAAUUCGGAAGAACACCAGUGGCGAAGGCGGCUCACUGGACUGGUAUUGACGCUGAGGUGCGAAAGCGUGGGGAGCAAACAGG
rnacentral:rRNA from 1 species